rnacentral:rRNA from 1 species
CAACCCUUAUCCUUUGUUGCCAGCGAUUAGGUCGGGAACUCAAAGGAGACUGCCAGUGAUAAACUGGAGGAAGGUGGGGAUGACGUCAAGUCAUCAUGGCCCUUACGACCAGGGCUACACACGUGCUACAAUGGCGCAUACAAAGAGAAGCGACCUCGCGAGAGCAAGCGGACCUCAUAAAGUGCGUCGUAGUCCGGAUUGGAGUCUGCAACUCGACUCCAUGAAGUCGGAAUCGCUAGUAAUCGUGGAUCAGAAUGCCACGGUGAAUACGUUCCCGGGCCUUGUACACACCGCCCGUCACACCAUGGGAGUGGGUUGCAAAAGAAGUAGGUAGCUUAACCUUCGGGAGGGCGCUUACCACUUUGUGAUUCAUGACUGGGGUGAAGUCGUAACAAGGUAACCGUAGGGGAACCUGCGGUUGGAUCACCUCCUUACCUUAAAG